rnacentral:rRNA from 1 species
GGACUACUAGGGUAUCUAAUCCUGUUUGCUCCCCACGCCGUCGUGGCUCAGUGUCAGGUCUCGCCCAGAACGCCGCUUGCGCCACUGGUGUUCCUCCCGAUAUCUACGCAUUUCACCACUACACCGGGAAUUCCACGUUCCUCUGCGAGCCUCCAGUCAACGUGUCUACCGCGACCUCGCCGGCAUUACUCCGGCGCUUUCACGCGGCACAUCAUCGACCACCUACCCACGCUUUACGCCCAGUAAUUCCGGACAACGCUUGGCCCCUACGUAUUACCGCGGCUGCUGGCAC